CCCAGGAGGACCCCACUAUGGAGGAGACCCAGGAGGACCCCACUAUGGAGGAGACCCAGGAGGACCCCACUAUGGAGGAGACCCAGGAGGACCCCACUAUGGAGGAGACCCAGGAGGACCCCACUAUGGAGGAGACCCAGGAGGACCCCACUGCUGACACAGAGACAGAAAAAAACAAGACUACGUUUUACCAAAAUGAACUUGAGUAACCAAAAUCCUUCUGGGACAACGUCUUGUGGACAGAUGAGACCAAGAUAGAUCUUUUUGGUAAAGCAAAUCAUUCUACUGUUUACCGAAAACGGAAUGAGGCCUACAAAGAAAAGAGCACAGUACCUACAGUGACAUAUGGUGGAGGUCCGUGAUGUUUUGCGGCCUCUGGCACUGGGGGCCUUGAAUGUGUACAAGACAUCAUGAAAUCUGAGGAUUACCAAUGGAUUUUGGGUCGCACUGUACAGUCCAGUGUCAGAAAGCUGGGUUUGUGUCCGAGAUCUUGGGUCUUCCAGCAGGAUAAUGACCCCAAACAUACGUCAAAAAGCCCCAGAAAUGGAGGACAACAAAGCGCUGGAGAGUUCUGAAGUGUCAGCAAUGAGUCCAGAUCUAAAUCCCAUUGAUCACCUGUGGAGAGAUCUUAUAAUUACUGUUGGGAAAAGGAGCCGUCCAAUAAGAGAGACCGGGAGCAGUUUGUAAAGGAAGAGUGGUCCAACAUUCCGGCUGAGAGGUGUAAGCUUAUUGAUGGUUAUAGGAAGAGUGGUCCAACAUUCCGGCUGAGAGGUGUAAGAAGCUUAUUGAUGAUAUAGGAAGAGUGGUCCAACAUUCCGGCUGAGAGGUGUAAGAAGCUUAUUGAUGGUUAUAGGAAGAGUGGUCCAACAUUCCGGCUGAGAGGUGUAAGAAGCUUAUUGAUGAUAUAGGAAGAGUGGUCCAACAUUCCGGCUGAGAGGUGUAAGAAGCUUAUUGAUGGUUAUAGGAA